rnacentral:rRNA from 1 species
AUUGAACGCUGGCGGCAGGCCUAACACAUGCAAGUCGAACGAGUGGCGGACGGGUGAGUAAUGUCUGGGAAACUGCCUGAUGGAGGGGGAUAACUACUGGAAAAGGUAGCUACUACCGCCUACCAUCGUAUGUGCCCUGGUGGGCUGAGCUAGUCGGUGGGGUAAAGGCUAACCUAGGCGACGAUCCCUAGCUGGUCUGAGAGGAUGACCAGCCACACUGGAACUGAGACACGGUCCAGACUCCUACGUGAGGCAGCAGUGGGGAAUAUUGCACAAUGGGCGCAAGUCUGAUGCAGCCAUGCCGCGUGUAUGAAGAAGGCCUUCGGGUUGUAAAGUACUUUCAGCGGGGAGGCGUUACCCGAAGAAGAAGCACCGGCUAACUCCGUGCCAGCAGCCGCGGUAAUUC